rnacentral:lncRNA from 1 species
AAAAACAUGGGGAACUCUGGGUCAGAGACUCUCCAGCAUCCUUGGCACUCAUCUCUUCACAGUCAUCUGAGAACCUGGAGGCAGAUUCUGUUUGCAAGAUCCACGAGGAGAAGGACUUCAUUGCUUUCUGUUCUUCAACACCACAUAACGUGUCCUGGAGAGACCGCACAAGGGGCUCCAUCUUCAUUACGGAACUCAUCACAUGCUUCCAGAAAUAUUCUUGCUGCUGCCACCUAAUGGAAAUAUUUCGGAAGGUACAGAAAUCAUUUGAAGUUCCACAGGCUAAAGCCCAGAUGCCCACCAUAGAACGAGCAACCUUGACAAGAGAUUUCUACCUCUUUCCUGGCAAUUGAAAAUUUCAGCUAAAGAUGGGGUCCUUGUCACACGACCAUGAGAAAUUAGACUCACAGACAAUCUGAAAGGAAACCACAGGCAGCCCAGCCCUCCUCUGUCAACAUCAAAGAGCACAUUUACCAGUAUAGCUUGCAUAGUCAAUAUUUGGUAUUUCAAUAAAAGUAAAGACUGUAUCUUUUUA